GACAGUUUGGCCGAGUGGUCCAAGGCGCUACCCUAAGGCGUUAGUCCGGGAGAGCGCGAGUUCAAAUCUUGAAGCCGUCA
rnacentral:tRNA from 1 species